rnacentral:rRNA from 1 species
GACGAACGCUGGCGGCGUGCCUAAUACAUGCAAGUCGAGCGAAUGACGAGAAGCUUGCUUCUCUGAUUUAGCGGCGGACGGGUGAGUAACACGUGGGCAACCUGCCCUACAGAUCGGGAUAACUCAGGGAAACCUGGGCUAAUACCGGAUAAUCCUUCGAAUCACAUGUUUUGAAGUUGAAAGGCGCUUCGGCGUCACUGUAGGAUGGGCCCGCGGUGCAUUAGCUAGUUGGUGGGGUAACGGCCUACCAAGGCAACGAUGCAUAGCCGACCUGAGAGGGUGAUCGGCCACAUUGGGACUGAGACACGGCCCAAACUCCUACGGGAGGCAGCAGUAGGGAAUCUUCCACAAUGGACGAAAGUCUGAUGGAGCAACGCCGCGUGAGUGAUGAAGGUUUUCGGAUCGUAAAACUCUGUUGUAAGGGAAGAACAAGUACGUUAGGAAAUGAACGUACCUUGACGGUACCUUAUUAGAAAGCCACGGCUAACUACGUGCCAGCCGCCGCUGUAAGAC